rnacentral:lncRNA from 1 species
CCCUCCCCUUGUUUAGCGUGUGUAGAGCAACGCUACAUGCUGUGCACAGUAACCCGCCAGAAGGGUAACACUAGUCACUCCUCUUGCGUGGUUUUAUAUACACGGGAGUAUUUAUUAGAUAGAGAAAAAUUGAUAGUAGAUAAAAAAUAGGUAUAGGAAAUGAUAUUCUUAUGGUUGUAGUGGGGUAUAGGAAGAGAAUAUAGGGAACCGUUGCGGAAGAUGAAAAGGUAGAGGAUGGAAUAUUGAUGAUGUGACACAAAAAAUAGUAUAGAAGGAAAAAUUUAGAGAAAACUGUUGCGGAUAGCCCAAAACUGCUACAUUGGUAGCGUGUGAUACAAGGAUUCACCAGAUCUGGGGAGCGAGCCGGCUCCCUACCCUCGAGCAACGUACGCAGCACUGUUUUUACGAGAAAAAAUAUUAAUGAUAGUGAUGUAUAAGUAGAUAAAAUAAUAUUUUAUGAUAGUAGUGAAAUAUAGGAAGAGAAUUUAGAGAAAAUCACUGUAGGGACAAGAAAAGUAAGAGAUAGACUAGCUGCAUAAUGCGGUAGCGCCUAGCGGUUUCAACGGUUCCCCGUUCGUCUCUCCUCCCUCUCGUUUUAAGGCUAAUAGAACCACUCUAAACGCUACAACGGUAGCAUCUAUCGUCCCUCAUUUCGACGACAACCUUCACGCUACCUCUCCCCAUGGUUGACAGUGAUGUCUGUCCCGCCAGCCUGUCGUCAGUCCCCGCAGCUUCGACCGCCGUCGGACUUCGUCCGGAGUGGAUCCAGCGCCGGCGAACUGUGGCAAACGGUGUAUCCGGCGGCGCUGGACUGACAUGAAGAGGCUGCUCGGUUGGCGCAUGGUGUGCUGCACGACCCCGCCAAUGGAAUCUCCGAGCUCGGUUUCCAUGGAUUUACACCUAAAUCACAAAAAAACCACUUUUCCUUUGCUCUGUUUGUGGAUCUAAACUUACUUUUUUAAUUUAAGGAGGUUUUAUCUACACAUGUUCGAGUUAUAUGUACUAAUGUACGUUCUUGUGUAAUUCAAAUUUGGUUAGUUGAAAAAAAAUGUAUAUAAUAAUAGUAUGGUGAGGUAUAGAGGAUUAAUUUACUGUUGUAGAUGAUAUAAAUAUAGGGGAAGAGAACGCUGACAUAGCAUGUGAGUGGGAUAUAUGCGAAGAAAUAUAGAGUGAACCGUAGAAGAUAGUCUUAGUCACUGCCUCCACUGCGUCACCGUGGCGUGGUGGGAUUUUAGGGCCCCGAGACAAAAUUCAAAAAAGAGGUCCUUCUAAUUAUAUUUAUACAUAAAUAUUACCAAUAUAAGCUCUCAAUAUACAUCUAAAAACAUAUCAACCAAC